GGCCCACAUGGCUGGGUAGUGGCAGUUCCUGGGUUCCCCCCACCCACACGCCACUAGGAGGCCAUCACACCUGGGAACAAUCACCAAUCAGUGACCAAGGAACCAAAAGAUCAAAGAAGGAAACACCCAGGAACCUGACUGAUAGAACAUUCACCUGCACACAUCCAAGGAGAUCUGUGCAACAAAACAACCUGCAGACAUCAUGUUGUUGGUCCGGUCUGAACAAGUCAGGGUCCAACCACAUUCUGCCACACACAUGGAGUGUUGUCUGUUCUGUGAAGUCUUUCCUCACAAACUCUCCACUGAUAUUUGGGUCAAGGAUUUACGGUACACACUUUUAUAUGCUCCUCUGGAAAUGGCCUAUGCGAGAGCAUGUGUGUAUACCUCUAAUGCUGUACGCCUCAACAGUCUGCAGAUGCUCAUGCCAAGUGAGCACAGUCAACAUUUUCAUGAUGAAUUAUAUCUGUCUAUAAUGUCUGUAAUGGUCUGUGAAUAAUCCAACUAAAAUGGUAGAAGAAAGUACAAUGAUCUGCUGAUAUCCUGGCUUUGUUGCUAUACUUUUACAAUAGGAGAAUGCCUCUUCACCAUUGCAUUUUGUAAGCUUUGUGUUGUUCAUUUGCUACUAACUACUUAUUUGCUGCUUAUUUUCUCGUGGGGUUUAUCUUAGCCUUGUGACUCCGGUGUAUGGCUUAGAAAGUAUGAUGGAUGGGUUUGAGAGCGCCCACACAGGCACAGGUGCUGGAUGUGCACAUCACGAGAGAAUGUCCACACAUUAGGAUUAUUCUUUCAGGAUUGCUUGAUGCAAUACCCUCAGCACUAACUCUGGGAUGGAUAUUGGUCAGAUCGGAUGUAAUGUCCAUUGCACUCGGAGGCAUUAUGACUGUUUUGGCUCUGGGAACUUCUCUCUAGAAGAGAAGAGCCCGUGCAGUAAUCCAUCCCUGACUGUACGCAUAAAACUAGAUCCCCUCCUCAGCAAAGCACUCAUCUGCACACACUUGCUUGUCACAUUCAAGACCAAAAUGGAUGACGGACACUAACUUAAAUGGGAGAUAUGUUGUGGGAGCAUACACACAGUAUAUUGGUUCUGUAAUAAAGGCAAUUGAGUAUGUCGCUUGUCAGCUUGCAUUCAGCAUUUCUACACUGAAAUCUCCCAUAAAGAUCUUCUCUCUCCACACCACUUCCUCAACACAGUGCACUGUGGCGGCUUUAAAACACAGGCAGCAGGCUUUUAUGUGAGAGACAUAAUGGCCGCCAUAAAAAAGGCCCAUCACUCAGCAGAAGCUUGUGCCAUCCAUCCUGUGCGUCCCUUCCACUGAGACCGGUCCUGUGCAGCGGCCAAGACAGCUGCCCCAGGCUGGACCCCUGCAACACAGCAGCACAGAGCUCAGGAACUGAUGGCUGGUUUGUGGUCGGAUCAGGUUCCUCAGCAGUUCAUCAUUGCUCCACUGAGAGUGCUUUAGGAGAUGUAAUAGGCAUGAUGUAUCUCCACCACCAUGACUGUACUUACACACGCACCUGAAACUGCAGACUUGGUCGAGCGAGGAAAGGGUUUGUAUAGAGAGCCUGAAGAUCCUAUUUCUGAGUAUGUUACGCCAUGAAAUGCAAAACUUCUUGAAUUUCCCCUGGGGAUCAAUAAAGUAUCUAUCUAUCUAUCUAUCUAUCUAUCUAUCUAUCUAAAACAUUAACAUUGUUGUCUACUACGCAGCACUGUGAACUUGUAAGCUUUUAGCAGCUGAAUAUCUCCCAUCUUUGUCUACCUUCCAGCCUGUGUUAGUGAUGUAAACCCAUGUUUCAUAGAUAACAAUUUCCUUUGGGCCGGAUCCACAUAAAAGCCUUUAGAUCCCCCUGUAGCGGACAUACGGUAUCUGACUGAGGGCCAGAUCUGCACCUAAUAGAGGUUUCAGCUCUGCUAGCAAUGCUGUUUUAUCACCGGUUUACAGAUUUGUCCCAGGUCCAAUUUCCGCAAC